rnacentral:rRNA from 1 species
UACGUAGGGUGCAAGCGUUGUCCGGAUUUAUUGGGCGUAAAGAGCUCGUAGGCGGUUUGUCGCGUCUGCCGUGAAAGUCCGGGGCUCAACUCCGGAUCUGCGGUGGGUACGGGCAGACUAGAGUGAUGUAGGGGAGACUGGAAUUCCUGGUGUAGCGGUGAAAUGCGCAGAUAUCAGGAGGAACACCGAUGGCGAAGGCAGGUCUCUGGGCAUUAACUGACGCUGAGGAGCGAAAGCGUGGGGAGCGAACAGG